AGAGUUUGAUCCUGGCUCAGAUUGAACGCUGGCGGAAUGCUUUACACAUGCAAGUCGAACGGCAGCACGGGGGCAACCCUGGUGGCGAGUGGCGAACGGGUGAGUAAUACAUCGGAACGUGCCCAGUCGUGGGGGAUAACGUAGCGAAAGCUACGCUAAUACCGCAUACGAACUCUGGUUGAAAGCGGGGGAUCGCAAGACCUCGCGCGAUUGGAGCGGCCGAUGGCAGAUUAGGUAGUUGGUGGGGUAAAGGCUCACCAAGCCGACGAUCUGUAGCUGGUCUGAGAGGACGACCAGCCACACUGGGACUGAGACACGGCCCAGACUCCCACGGGAGGCAGCAGUGGGGAAUUUUGGACAAUGGGCGCAAGCCUGAUCCAGCCAUUCCGCGUGCAGGAUGAAGGCCCUCGGGUUGUAAACUGCUUUUGUACGGAACGAAAAGGCCUGGGUUAAUACCUCGGGCUCAUGACG
rnacentral:rRNA from 1 species